rnacentral:rRNA from 1 species
AUUGAACGCUGGCGGCAUGCCUUACACAUGCAAGUCGAACGGCAGCACGGGAGCUUGCUCCUGGUGGCGAGUGGCGAACGGGUGAGUAAUACAUCGGAACGUGCCCAGUAGUGGGGGAUAGCCCGGCGAAAGCCGGAUUAAUACCGCAUACGACCUACGGGUGAAAGCGGGGGACCGUAAGGCCUCGCGCUAUUGGAGCGGCCGAUGUCUGAUUAGCUUGUUUGUGGGGUAAAAGCCCACCAAGGCGACGAUCAGUAGCUGGUCUGAGAGGACGAGCAGCCACACGGGGACUGAGACACGGCCCAGACUCCUACGGGAGGCAGCAGUGGGGAAUUUUGGACAAUGGGUGCAACCCUGAUCCAGCAAUGCCGCGUGUGCGAAGAAGGCCUUCGGGUUGUAAAGCACUUUUGUCAGGGAAGAAAUCUUUCAGGCUAAUACCCUUGGAAGGAUGACGGUACCUGAAGAAUAAGCACCGGCUAACUACGUGCCAGCCGCCGCGGUAA